GCCGGGCACAGUGGCUUGCGCCUGUAAUCCCAUCACUUUGGGAGGCAGAGGUGGGCGGAUCACCUGAGGUCAGGAGUUCCAGACCAGCCUGGCCAACACGGUGAAACCCCAUCUCUA
rnacentral:SRP_RNA from 1 species